GUCUAUGGCCAUAUCACCUUGAACAAGCCUGAUCCCAUCUGAUCUUGGAAGCUAAGCAAGGUUGGGCCUGGUUAGUACUUGGAAGGGAAACCACCUAGGAAUACCAGGUGUAAAAGAUA
rnacentral:rRNA from 1 species